GGCCCCGUCGUCUAGCCUGGUUCAGGACACUACCCUUUCACGGUAGGUACAUGGGUUCGAAUCCCAUCGGGGUCA
rnacentral:tRNA from 1 species